GCAGUAGUGGUUCAGUGGUAGAAUUCUCGCCUUCCAUGCAGGAGACCCACGUUCAAUUCCUGGCCCGUGCA
rnacentral:tRNA from 1 species